UGGGGAAUAUUGCACAAUGGGCGAAAGCCUGAUGCAGCGACGCCGCGUGAGGGAUGACGGCCUUCGGGUUGUAAACCUCUUUCAGCAGGGACGAAGCGCAAGUGACGGUACCUGCAGAAGAAGCACCGGCUAACUACGUGCCAGCAGCCGCGGUAAUACGUAGGGUGCAAGCGUUGUCCGGAAUUACUGGGCGUAAAGAGUUCGUAGGCGGUUUGUCGCGUCGUUUGUGAAAACCAGCAGCUCAACUGCUGGCUUGCAGGCGAUACGGGCAGACUUGAGUACUGCAGGGGAGACUGGAAUGCCUGGUGUAGCGGUGAAAUGCGCAGAUAUCAGGAGGAACACCGGUGGCGAAGGCGGGUCUCUGGGCAGUAACUGACGCUGAGGAACGAAAGAGUGGGUAGCGAACAGG
rnacentral:rRNA from 1 species